rnacentral:rRNA from 1 species
AAACUGGACGGCGCAUAAGGGGGAAGUGUUACUCACUGCGAAGUCGAUACGAAAGGUCGAUUAGUAAGGAAAGGACACAGAACUUGCUACGCCGGUCAGAAGACAAAAUGAGUUCAGACUGAAGGAGUCACCUGAGAUUGGGCAGCAAUGCAGAUCAAAAGGGAAACUUCAGACUGGACUGAGGGGCCUAAGGGCGAUUUUGUCAAAAUGGCUUCUAC